AGUGUAGUAUCUGUUCUUAUCAGUUUAAUAUCUAUCUCUAUAUGAGGACUACGUAUUGAAUUGAUUUUAAGAACAGGGAGACGGAAGAGGUUCUUGCUCUGUCCGCUCCACGCAUCGACCUGGUAUUGUAGUACCUCCAGAAAAGUUCU
rnacentral:snRNA from 1 species